GUUUUCUGUAUCCCCUUUCCUUUAGUUUGUGUGUGAAUUACUCUUUUGUUAUGUUUCUAGGUUUUAAGUUGGCAAUGUAAUUCACUUGUGUUCAGUCGUUGCUUAAAAUGAAGCAUUUGAGAAGGUUCAAGGCUGUGAGAGGAGGCUGGAGUCUGAAGUGAGAUAGCUAGCAUGAAAUUCUUGGCCAAUUUGACUAGGGGAUUGUUAAGAGCAGGGAUGUCCAACACACUGCACUAUUAAUUAGUUAAGAUCAUCUAUUCGAAAGUUCAGCUGUGUAGUGACUCUCCUCUGAGACUCUCAAAUCCUCAGUAAAGGUCUCCGCACAUAAUUGACUUGUGCAUUGGUAUUUUGGAGAAUGCAGGGAAAGGGUGUUGUCCAUGGUUAGGAUGUCAGAGGACAGACAGAAGAAAAGACAUUUGAAUGAAAGACCAUCUUGGGGGAGGAAAAGUUCUGCAGGAAGAGGAGAUGCGAGAGAGAAGAAAUCAUGGGAACAUAGUCUUUGGAAACUCACCAACGUGUUGAGGACUGAGCACUGAACUUCGCCCAGCAAUGGAGACAGAAGAUGGAAGAAACGUUGUUAAAAUAUUAAGCGGACCUGCUGACUUCAUAGAGACACCUUGGUUACCAGUGUGAUGCUGAAUAGGAAUGAGAGCCUCACUUCUGAUCUUCGAGGAAAAUCGUUUCGUCUUUCACCUUUAAUAAAGUUUCCAUUGUA